rnacentral:lncRNA from 1 species
GACAUUCAUCAUUCCAUAUCAUCUCUUGAUUUCUCCAGCGAAAACCUCUACAUAGUCACGUAACAUCCGACUCAAUCUUUCUUUGACACUGUUUUCCAAGCCUGCUCCUAUUUUGACUUCUUUCUUGGCGUCUUCGGUGCCGAGAUUAAUCACUUCGACCGACUCUUGAUGCGGUUGAAUAACCCUUUCCUCUUGUUUCAAUGACCUGG